GUUAACGCUGGCGGCGUGCCUAACACAUGCAAGUCGAGCGAAGAGUGGCGGAAUAUUGCGCUCUUAGCGGCAGACGGGUGAGUAACACGUAAACUAUUUGCCCUCGAAUGGGAGACAACCUGACGAAAGUUUGGCUAAUACCCCAUACAAUCCUCUCGGAGCAUUCCGAGGGGAUGAAAGGCCCGCAAGGGUCGUUCGAGGAGAAGUUUGCGGCCUAUCAGCUAGUUGGCGGUGUAACGGACCACCAAGGCUAUGACGGGUAGCCGAUCUAAAAGGAUGACCGGCCACAAGGGCACUGAGACACGGGCCCUACUCCUACGGGAGGCAGCAGUGGGGAAUUUUGGACAAUGGACGAAAGUCUGAUCCAGCGACGCCGCGUGAAGGACGAAGGUUUUCGGAUCGUAAACUUCUUUUGCAGGGGACGAAUACGCGCAAGCGUUUGACGGUACUCUGCGAAUAAGCCACGGCUAACUACGU
rnacentral:rRNA from 1 species